rnacentral:rRNA from 1 species
GACGAACGCUGGCGGCGUGCUUAACACAUGCAAGUCGAACGGAAAGGCCCUGCUUUUGUGGGGUGCUCGAGUGGCGAACGGGUGAGUAACACGUGAGUAACCUGCCCUUGACUUUGGGAUAACUUCAGGAAACUGGGGCUCAUACCGGAUAGGAGCUCCUGCUGCAUGGUGGGGGUUGGAAAGUUUCGGCGGUUGGGGAUGGACUCGCGGCUUAUCAGCUUGUUGGUGGGGUAGUGGCUUACCAAGGCUUUGACGGGUAGCCGGCCUGAGAGGGUGACCGGGCACAAGGGGACUGAGGGACGGCGCAGACGCCUACGGGAGGCAGCGGGGGGGAAUAUUGCGCAAUGGGGGGAAGCCUGAGGCGGCAGCGCCGCGUGCGGGAUGACGGCCUACGGGGUGUAAACAGCUUUCGCCUGUGACGAAGCGGGAGUGACGGUAAUGGGUAAAGAAGCACCGGCUAACUACGUG